rnacentral:rRNA from 1 species
GAUGAACGCUAGCGGCAGGCUUAAUACAUGCAAGUCGAGGGGCAGCAUGAUUGUAGCAAUACAAUUGAUGGCGACCGGCAAACGGGUGCGGAACACGUACACAACCUCCCAAUAAGUGGGGAAUAGCCCAGAGAAAUUUGGAUUAAUACCCCGUAACAUAACGAUGUGGCAUCACAUUGUUAUUAUAGAUUUUUCGCUUAUUGAUGGGUGUGCGGCUGAUUAGAUAGUUGGCGGGGUAACGGCCCACCAAGUCUACGAUCAGUAGCUGAUGUGAGAGGAUGAUCAGCCACACGGGCACUGAGACACGGGCCCGACUCCUACUGGAGGCAGCAGUAAGGAAUAUUGGACAAUGGACGCAAGUCUGAUCCAGCCAUGCCGCGUGAAGGAUUAAGGUCCUCUGGAUUGUAAACUUCUUUUAUAAGGGACGAAAAAAGGCUUUUCUAAGUCGUCUGACGGUACCUUAUGAAUAAGCACCGGCUAACUCCGUGCCAGCCGCCGCGGUAACAC